rnacentral:piRNA from 1 species
UGGGGAAUGACAGAAGUGGAUGGGGGU